CAACCACAGCAACAACAACCACAGCUGCCCCAACAACAACCACAGCUGCAGCAACAACAACCACAGCUGCCCCAACGACAAUCACAGAAGCUGCAACGACAACCACAGCUGCUCUAACAACAACUGCGACACAAGGCUUGGAAUCACUGGUACAUCUCCAGAUGAAGAUAACUUCUAUUGGAGAGGUCAGCAAUAAAACCAUCAUUGAAGGUGUGAAACAGUUUUUCAGAGAACAGCUUCUGAAUUCAACAGCCUACACGAUCACCGUGACAAACAUUCAAAGGGUUACAGUUGCUCCAUAGAAGCUGCUUGUGGAUCUAUAAAGUCACCUCAACCAUUUUACUUGUUGACAGUUGGAACACAACACAUCAAUUUCCCCAAAUCAUAAGAAGUAUCUAGAUUGCACUUAAGGUUCAUCCAUGCUCUGCUGUGCCACACUACAUCCUGUAAUGCCCUGCAGCGCCCUGAUAUGACAUGAACUACUAUUAUCUUUAAUGUGACUAUU